rnacentral:rRNA from 1 species
CCUACGGGAGGCAGCAGUGAGGAAUAUUGGUCAAUGGACGCAAGUCUGAACCAGCCAUGCCGCGUGCAGGAAGACGGCUCUAUGAGUUGUAAACUGCUUUUGUACGAGGGUAAACGCAGAUACGCGUACCUGUCUGAAAGUAUCGUACGAAUAAGGAUCGGCUAACUCCGUGCCAGCAGCCGCGGUAAUACGGAGGAUUCGAGCGUUAUCCGGAUUUAUUGGGUUUAAAGGGUGCGUAGGCGGUCGGAUAAGUUAGAGGUGAAAUCCCGAGGCUCAACUUUGGAAUUGCCUCUGAUACUGUCCGGCUAGAGAGUAGUUGCGGUAGGCGGAAUGCAUGGUGUAGCGGUGAAAUGCUUAGAGAUCAUACAGAACACCGAUUGCGAAGGCAGCUUACCAAGCUACUUCUGACGUUGAGGCACGAAAGCGUGGGGAGCAAACAGGAUUAGAUACCCCAGUAGUC